GUCCACGCUGUAAACGAUGGGUACUAGGCUUGGCGGGUCUUGACCCCUGCUGAGCCGGAGCUAACGCGCUAAGUACCCCGCCUGGGAAGUACGGUCGCAAGACUAAAACUCAAAGGAAUUGACGGGGCCCGCACAAGCGGUGGAUCAUGUGGUUUAAUUCGAAGCAACGCGAAGAACCUUACCUGGGUUUGACAUCUCCUGACAGCCGUAGAGAUACGGUUUCUGUAGCAAUACAGCAGGAAGACAGGUGCUGCAUGGCUGUCGU
rnacentral:rRNA from 1 species